rnacentral:sRNA from 1 species
CUCUUUCAAUGAUAUGAAGUUAAAACCAGAACUGGGACCCUGGAACUUGGGGAUAAAUUGCUCGCGAUAGAUAAUAUCCGGCUGGACAACUGUUCCAUGGAAGAUGCAGUUCAGAUCCUCCAGCAAUGUGAAGACCUGGUGAAGCUCAAAAUCCGCAAAGAUGAAGAUAAUUCAGAUGAGCAAGAAAGUUCCGGAGCAAU